UACGUAGGGGGCGAGCGUUAUCCGGAUUCACUGGGUGUAAAGGGAGCGUAGACGGCCAUGCAAGCCAGGGGUGAAAGCCCGGGGCCCAACCCCGGGACUGCCCUUGGAACUGCAUGGCUGGAGUGCGGGAGGGGCAGGCGGAAUUCCUGGUGUAGCGGUGAAAUGCGUAGAUAUCAGGAGGAACACCGGCGGCGAAGGCGGCCUGCUGGACCGCGACUGACGUUGAGGCUCGAAAGCGUGGGGAGCGAACAGG
rnacentral:rRNA from 1 species